GAAAUGCGAUACGUAGUGUGAAUUGCAGAAUUCAGUGAAUCAUCGAAUCUUUGAACGCACAUUGCGCCCUUUGGUAUUCCAAAGGGCAUGCCUGUUCGAGCGUCAUUUGUACCCUCAAGCUUUGCUUGGUGUUGGGCGUUUUUUGUCUUUGGCUCGCCCAAAGACUCGCCUUAAAACGAUUGGCAGCCGGCCUACUGGUUUCGCAGCGCAGCACAUUUUUGCGCUUGCAAUCAGCAAAAGAGGACGGCAAUCCAUCAAGACUCCUUCUCACGUUUGACCUCGGAUCAGGUAGGGAUCCCCGCUGAACUUAAGC
rnacentral:misc_RNA from 1 species